ACUACCUUCAAUGUCUUGUUGUUUAUGGUUUGUGGACAUCCUGUAUGUGGUGUGUUCUGGAAGGAUUCAUUGCCAGCCUUAAAUUUGUUAAAUUGCCCUUGUACUGUCCACUCAUUUCCAUAUCCUCACUGAAUGUCUGGUCUGUUUUUCUUUCUGCUGCAUAAAUUCAUUCCCAGUUUAAAUUUGUACAGUAUACAAGGCCACUAUAAUACUGUUUGGAGUUUCCUUGUUCGACCUGCUCUCACUGACAUCCCACUUAACUGUGGUGACCACUACCAGCUAGUUACAAGAGGAAACACUAACACAUUACCUUCCUGUUAUCUCUCUCACCUUUGAAGAAAUGCUGUGGGGAGUGUGUGUGUUUGAUCAUAUGAAAAUCUGACAGAACUUUAUUGAUUGUG
rnacentral:lncRNA from 1 species